ACUUAAAUUGAAGAGUUUGAUCAUGGCUCAGAUUGAACGCUGGCGGCAGGCCUAACACAUGCAAGUCGAGCGGUAGCACAGAGAGCUUGCUCUCGGGUGACGAGCGGCGGACGGGUGAGUAAUGUCUGGGAAACUGCCUGAUGGAGGGGGAUAACUACUGGAAACGGUAGCUAAUACCGCAUAACGUCGCAAGACCAAAGUGGGGGACCUUCGGGCCUCAUGCCAUCAGAUGUGCCCAGAUGGGAUUAGCUGGUAGGUGGGGUAACGGCUCACCUAGGCGACGAUCCCUAGCUGGUCUGAGAGGAUGACCAGCCACACUGGAACUGAGACACGGUCCAGACUCCUACGGGAGGCAGCAGUGGGGAAUAUUGCACAAUGGGCGCAAGCCUGAUGCAGCCAUGCCGCGUGUGUGAAGAAGGCCUUCGGGUUGUAAAGCACUUUCAGCGGGGAGGAAGGCGGUGAGGUUAAUAACCUCAUCGAUUGACGUUACCCGCAGAAGAAGCACCGGCUAACUCCGUGCCAGCAGCCGCGGUAAUACGGAGGGUGCAAGCGUUAAUCGGAAUUACUGGGCGUAAAGCGCACGCAGGCGGUCUGUCAAGUCGGAUGUGAAAUCCCCGGGCUCAACCUGGGAACUGCAUUCGAAACUGGCAGGCUAGAGUCUUGUAGAGGGGGGUAGAAUUCCAGGUGUAGCGGUGAAAUGCGUAGAGAUCUGGAGGAAUACCGGUGGCGAAGGCGGCCCCCUGGACAAAGACUGACGCUCAGGUGCGAAAGCGUGGGGAGCAAACAGGAUUAGAUACCCUGGUAGUCCACGCUGUAAACGAUGUCGAUUUGGAGGUUGUGCCCUUGAGGCGUGGCUUCCGGAGCUAACGCGUUAAAUCGACCGCCUGGGGAGUACGGCCGCAAGGUUAAAACUCAAAUGAAUUGACGGGGGCCCGCACAAGCGGUGGAGCAUGUGGUUUAAUUCGAUGCAACGCGAAGAACCUUACCUGGUCUUGACAUCCACAGAACUUUCCAGAGAUGGAUUGGUGCCUUCGGGAACUGUGAGACAGGUGCUGCAUGGCUGUCGUCAGCUCGUGUUGUGAAAUGUUGGGUUAAGUCCCGCAACGAGCGCAACCCUUAUCCUUUGUUGCCAGCGGUUAGGCCGGGAACUCAAAGGAGACUGCCAGUGAUAAACUGGAGGAAGGUGGGGAUGACGUCAAGUCAUCAUGGCCCUUACGACCAGGGCUACACACGUGCUACAAUGGCAUAUACAAAGAGAAGCGACCUCGCGAGAGCAAGCGGACCUCAUAAAGUAUGUCGUAGUCCGGAUUGGAGUCUGCAACUCGACUCCAUGAAGUCGGAAUCGCUAGUAAUCGUAGAUCAGAAUGCUACGGUGAAUACGUUCCCGGGCCUUGUACACACCGCCCGUCACACCAUGGGAGUGGGUUGCAAAAGAAGUAGGUAGCUUAACCUUCGGGAGGGCGCUUACCACUUUGUGAUUCAUGACUGGGGUGAAGUCGUAACAAGGUAACCGUAGGGGAACCUGCGGUUGGAUCACCUCCUUACCUUAAAGAA
rnacentral:rRNA from 2 species